AUUGAACGCUGGCGGCAGGCCUAACACAUGCAAGUCGAACGGUAACAGGAAGAAGCUUGCUUCUUUGCUGACGAGUGGCGGACGGGUGAGUAAUGUCUGGGAAACUGCCUGAUGGAGGGGGAUAACUACUGGAAACGGUAGCUAAUACCGCAUAACGUCGCAAGACCAAAGAGGGGGACCUUCGGGCCUCUUGCCAUCGGAUGUGCCCAGAUGGGAUUAGCUAGUAGGUGGGGUAACGGCUCACCUAGGCGACGAUCCCUAGCUGGUCUGAGAGGAUGACCAGCCACACUGGAACUGAGACACGGUCCAGACUCCUACGGGAGGCAGCAGUGGGGAAUAUUGCACAAUGGGCGCAAGCCUGAUGCAGCCAUGCCGCGUGUAUGAAGCAGGCCUUCGGGUUGUAAAGUACUUUCAGCGGGGAGGAAGGGAGUAAAGUUAAUACCUUUGCUCAUUGACGUUACCCGCAGAAGAAGCACCGGCUAACUCCGUG
rnacentral:rRNA from 1 species